CAGUUGAAGGGAAGCAGUCAUGUGUUGUUGGAACUCCAUCAUCUUCUCUCUCAGCACCGUGACGAGACACUUCCUACCCAGCUGGUCUGUAGAGGUGCUUCUGUCCUGUGCCACCUUCCAGUGACAGAGAUGUUGACGGUGCGCGGCGCGCUGGACAGCCACACCCACACGCUCUCUUCAGAUAACACGAAAAAGCCGAUCACUGCGAGAAGAGCCUUACACUAUGCUGACACAUAGGAGACAUUCACUGAGCAUGUACUAAGUGUAUGAAUGACUGGCCCUCUCACUGCACGGUGAUGAAUGGGGUGGAA